GAGCGUGUAGGGGAUUGAUAAAUUAAGAAAAAAAAUCCUGUAGAGAUAUGGUCGUUUUUACUUCGUUUUGGAGAAAAUUGCAAAAAAGACAAAACGUAGUUGCUUCGUUCUUGCACUGCCUCUAAAGUAUUAUCGUCGCUAAAAUCAUACGAAAACAAUAAUAAUAAUUCCGUUUUCAGAUUUUUUGAAGACCGACUUCUUUGAUUAUUUAGAAGACACCCACCUGCAGCAACGGAUUGAAAUGUGGUUUCAACUCGAUGGGUGUCCAGCUCAUUAUAGCAGAAUUAUUCGAGCUUGGCUAGAUAGACAUUUUCCACAUAGAUUGUACUGGAUGAAGGAAGGAAAGGAUGGAGGAAUAGUACUUUGACCACUCCGCUCAUCUGAGCGGACACUACUGGACUUCUUUAUGUGGGGGAUCCUGAAGCAGGAAGUUUAUUCGUCGUUAAUCAAUUCAAGAGAACAAUUAAGAAAUUAAAUCGAGGCUGUAGUGCACCAAAUAUCGCCAGAUCAGUGUUUAGCUGCAACACGAGCUGUCUGUACUAGAUGCAUGCAUUGUUGCAAGAGGCCAAUAUUUUGAACAAUAUCUACAUUAAGCGAGUGAAUAAAUACAGUGAAUAAGUAAUGAAAAAAUUCAAAAAUGAA